rnacentral:lncRNA from 1 species
UUGGUUUUCCGGGUUCACCAAAAAUCUUUGUUGGUUUUACGGGCUCACCAACGAACCUAUACACUUUGGUUUUCCGGAUUCACCAAAAACCUUUGUUGGUUUUACGGGCUCACCAACGAACCUUUACAAAUAGUUUGAUAAACAAAAAGGAAAGAUUCAAACUCCUAAAUGAGCAAAUGAAAUAAUAUUAACUACAAAGAAGAGUUAGAAAGUAUUUAUCGCUUUGAAGUGGCUUUGCUCUUCUUUGUCAAGGAUGCUUCACUCUUCAAGGGAGGAUGGAGCUCUUGAUGACUCUUUGAAUCUGCUCAACCCCUUUCUUUGAUUCUUGAAUGAAGCACUUGAAUGAAGAAGAUUAGGGCACUUUUGUUUUCUUGUGUACUCUUUGAUAUUUCUUUCAAAAGUUCUUCUAUCUGAUGAAUAGUGCCCCUUUAAAUAGCUUCCCACAUCCUUUGGACAAGCCCCAAUGGUUAGAUUUGAAAAACUAGCCGUUACUGACCUUGGGAAGGACAAAAAGUACAUCUGCAGAACUAGCCGUUAUGCUUCAGCCCGUGUUUGGGUCGGCUCAACCUGUCCUUGGGUCGACCCAACAUUCACUUGGGUCGACUCAAACAUUCCUUGGGUCGACCCUCUCAGAAAACACAGAAACUUGAGAUUUCAGCCUUCCUUCCCAUGGGUCGACCCAACCAUUCUUUGGGUCGACUCAAAGUUCACUUGGGUCGACUCAACUUCUUCUUGGGUCGACCCUCUCAGUAAUUCCAGAGAACCAUUUUCUGUCUGCCUUUCUGUCUUGCCNNN